GAUGAACGCUGGCGGCGUGCCUAAUACAUGCAAGUCGAGCGAACGGACGAGAAGCUUGCUUCUCUGAUGUUAGCGGCGGACGGGUGAGUAACACGUGGAUAACCUACCUAUAAGACUGGGAUAACUUCGGGAAACCGUAGCUAAUACCGGAUAAUAUUUUGAACCGCAUGGUUCAAAAGUGAAAGACGGUCUUGCUGUCACUUAUAGAUGGAUCCGCGCUGCAUUAGCUAGUUGGUAAGGUAACGGCUUACCAAGGCAACGAUGCAUAGCCGACCUGAGAGGGGGAUCGGCCACACUGGAACUGAGGCACGGUCCAGGCGCCUACGGGAGGCAGCAGUAGGGAAUCUUCCGCAAUGGGCGAAAGCCUGACGGAGCAACGCCGCGUGAGUGAUGAAGGUCUUCGGAUCGUAAAACUCUGUUAUUAGGGAAGAACAUAUGUGUAAGUAACUGUGCACAUCUUGACGGUACCUAAUCAGAAAGCCACGGCUAACUACGUG
rnacentral:rRNA from 1 species